CCUGGGCAGAUCCAAUUUUUCACCCGAGAAGAAGGUAGAUGUCAAGUUUACUGAUGACUAUGGCAUAUCUGAGGGUGCCGUGGACAAUGGAGGACCUACUCGGGAGUUUUUCCGACUCUGUCUUCAUGAAAUCAAGGACAAAAUUGGCAUCUUUGAAGGUCCACCUGAUGCUAAAGUCCUCACAUGCAACUCCAAAGCGAUGAAAGAUAAUGGAUACUUCAAUGCUGGCCAGAUUAUGGCAAUGUCAAUUGCUCAUGGGGGACAGAGUCCAUGUUUCCUGUCUGAACUCUUGUAUGAGUGUCUUCAGAAAGGUCCGGACAAUGUAAAGGUCAAAACUGAACAUAUUACUGAUGAAGAAACAAGGUCACAGGUGCAGUCGAUCUUACAAGCUGAGACUGAAUCACAACUGCAAGAUGCAGUUA